rnacentral:rRNA from 1 species
CAACUGGGAUUGCCUUAGUAACGGCGAGUGAAGCGGCAAUAGCUCAAAUUUGAAAGCUGGCUCCUUCGGAGUCCGCGUUGUAAUUUGUAGAGGAUGCUUCGGCGAGGGCUCCCGCCUAAGUCCCCUGGAACGGGGCGUCAUAGAGGGUGAGAAUCCCGUAUGCGGUGGGUUGCCUUAGCCAUGUGAAGCUCCUUCGACGAGUCGAGUUGUUUGGGAAUGCAGCUCUAAAUGGGAGGUAAAUUUCUUCUAAAGCUAAAUACCGGCCAGAGACCGAUAGCGCACAAGUAGAGUGAUCGAAAGAUGAAAAGCACUUUGGAAAGAGAGUUAAAAAGUACGUGAAAUUGUUGAAAGGGAAGCGCUUGCAGCCAGACUUGUCCGCAGUUGCUCAGCCGGUCUCCUGACCGGCGUACUCUUCUGCGGCCAGGCCAGCAUCAGUUCGGGCGGUCGGAUAAAGGUUCUGGGAAUGUGGCUCCUCUCGGGGAGUGUUAUAGCCCAGUUCGCAAUGCGACCAGCCUGGACUGAGGAUCUCGCUUCGGCUAGGAUGCUGGCGUAAUGGCUGUAAGCGGCCCGUCUUGAAACACGGACCAAGGAGUCUAACAUCUAUGCGAGUGUUUGGGUGUCAAACCCAUGCGCGUAAUGAAAGUGAACGGAGGUGGGAACCCUCACGGGUGCACCAUCGACCGAUCCUGAUGUCUUCGGAUGGAUUUGAGUAAGAGCAUAGCUGUUGGGACCCGAAAGAUGGUGAACUAUGCCUGAAUAGGGUGAAGCCAGAGGAAACUCUGGUGGAGGCUCGCAGCGGUUCUGACGUGCAAAUCGAUCGUCAAAUUUGGGUAUAGGGGCGAAAGACUA